rnacentral:rRNA from 1 species
GGAUGAACGCUAGCUACAGGCUUAACACAUGCAAGUCGCGGGGCAGCAUGGGGGUUGCUUGCAAUCCCCGAUGGCGACCGGCGCACGGGUGAGUAACGCGUAUCCAACCUGCCCUUCACCACGGGAUAACCCGGCGAAAGUCGGACUAAUACCGUAUGUUGUCCAUUGACGGCAUCCGAUUUGGACGAAAGGUUUGGCGGUGAAGGAUGGGGAUGCGUCCGAUUAGCUGGACGGCGGGGUGACGGCCCACCGUGGCGACGAUCGGUAGGGGUUCUGAGAGGAAGGUCCCCCACACUGGAACUGAGACACGGUCCAGACUCCUACGGGAGGCAGCAGUGAGGAAUAUUGGUCAAUGGGCGUAAGCCUGAACCAGCCAAGUAGCGUGCAGGAUGACGGCCCUAUGGGCGGUAAACUGCUUUUAUGCGGGGAUAAAGUGGCCCACGUGUGGGUUUUUGCAGGUACCGCGUGAAUAAGGACCGGCUAAUUCCGUG